rnacentral:rRNA from 1 species
CAUAUGCUUGUCUCAAAGAUUAAGCCAUGCAUGUCUGAGUACAGACCGAUCUAAGGUGAAACCGCGAAUGGCUCAUUAAAUCAGUCAUAAUUCCUUGGAUAGUGAAAAACUUUCCUCGGAUAACUGUGGAAAAUCCAGAGCUAAUACGUGCAACUGAGCUCCGACCUAGGCGUGAGCCGUGGGAAGAGCGCAUUUGUUAGAUUCAAAACUGACCGGUGUACUCCUUCGGGAUAUGCCGUUUGUUAAAAUUUGAUGACUCAGGACAACUAAGUCGAGCGCUCCGGUCUUUAGUACCGGCGCCGUAUCUUUCAAGUGUCUGCCUUAUCAGCUUUCGAUUGUAGGUUAAACGCCUACAAUGGCUGUAACGGGUAACGGGGAAUCAGGGUUCGAUUCCGGAGAGGGAGCCUGAGAAACGGCUACCACAUCUAAGGAAGGCAGCAGGCACGCAAAUUACCCACUCCCAGCCCGGGGAGGUAGUGACGAAAAAUAACGAUGCGAGACUCUUCCGAGGCCUCGCAAUCGGAAUGAGUCCAUUUUAAAUCCUUGGACGAGGAUCCAUUGGAGGGCAAGUCUGGUGCCAGCAGCCGCGGUAAUUCCAGCUCCAAUAGCGUAUAUUAAAGUUGCUGCGGUUAAAAAGCUCGUAGUUGGACUUUCUAGAUCCAUUUCGUGGGUGAGUCGCUCUUUGUACUAGCGCCUCGUGCAGUUGCUUGACGAAGUCGUCUCGCGUGCGUGCGCGCGCGCUCGGCCGCGUACUUYUUUUUCGGCGCGAGUCGUUCUAGAGGUUGCGCGUAGCCGUGUGUCGCCGCCGUUCGCGUUGGCGUUCCAGAGUCAAGUGGGCGGCGAGGCGUUGUCUUGGGGUAUAGCUCGUCCGCGUUUGGUACAAUUAAAAUUUUGUCGGCUCGCUCGGAGUGCUCUUUACCGAGUGUUCCAGGGUGGCUGACACGUUCACUUUGAAAAAAUUAGAGUGCUUAAAGCGGGCUUAUUUACGGCCUGAAUGUCUGUGCAUGGAAUGAAGUAACAGGACCUCGAUUCUGUUGUUUUUGUCGGUUUUAUUGAACCGAGGUAAUGAUUAAAAGGGACAGACGGUGGCAUUAGUAUUGCGGCGCUAGAGGUGAAAUUCUUGGACCGUCGCAAGACUAACUACUGCGAAAGCAUUUGCCGAGAAUGUUUUCAUUAAUCAAGAACGAAAGUUAGAGGAUCGAAGGCGAUCAGAUACCGCCCUAGUUCUAACCCUAAACUAUGCUAACUAGCGAUCCGCCGGAGUCAUUCCCACGACCCGGCGGGAAGCCCCAGGGAAACCAAAGUCUUUGAGUUCCGGGGGAAGUAUGGUUGCAAAGCUGAAACUUAAAGGAAUUGACGGAAGGGCACCACCAGGAGUGGAGCCUGCGGCUUAAUUUGACUCAACACGGGAAACCUCACCAGGCCCGGACAUCAUAAGGAUUGACAGGUUGAGAGCUCUUUCUCGAUUUGAUGGGUGGUGGUGCAUGGCCGUUCUUAGUUGGUGGAGUGAUCUGUCUGGUUGAUUCCGAUAACGAACGAGACUCUACCCUACUAACUAGUCGGCGGAUCGUAACCCUGAGAUGGUUAGUUUGUAUAGGAGAGUUUUGCCCAGGCAUAGUCGUUUGAUUGAUAGUGUUACGCUCUCGUAUUAUCCACUAGCUAUAUUGUUUAGCGAAGGUAUAUUUACGCGUCGAUAGCUCUAAAGGUCUGCGGCCGUGUCGAAGCUGCWUUCUGAUUGCUGCUACUGCUGGGGGCGUCCGUCGCAAUGUAUCUUCUUAGAGGGAUCAGCGGCGUAUAGCCGCACGAGAAAGAGCAAUAACAGGUCUGUGAUGCCCUUAGAUGUUCUGGGCCGCACGCGCGCUACAAUGUAGGGCUCAGCGUGCUUUCCCUCUCCGAAAGGAGCGGGUAACCCGUUGAAACCCCUACCCGAUUGGGAUUGGGGAUUGCAAUUAUUUCCCAUAAACGAGGAAUUCCCAGUAAGCGCGAAUCAUUAAUUCGCGCUGAUUACGUCCCUGCCCUUUGUACACACCGCCCGUCGCUACUACCGAUUGAAUGAUUCAGUGAGGGCAUCGGACUGGCCCUUCGGUUUAGUAACCUAGACCUUAGGCUGACGGAAAGAUGUCCGAACUUGAUCAUUUAGAGGAAGUAAAAGUCGUAACAAGGUUUC